GAGCGGGGAGGAGCGAAGAGCCGAGGGUAGAGCCGUGCGCGCCGGGCCGCUCUGAGGAGGCCGGGCCGGGCGGGGCGGCCGGGAGAGCCCGAGGCCCGACUGUCGGCGCGCCUGGAGCUAGCCGGAGAUCAUUUCCACUGACCUAUCUUUAAGUUCACUGACCCUUUCUUCUGUUCGGUCCAGUCUGACGUUCCUAUCCAGUGUUCUGUGAAGCUCCACUGAGGGGCUGAUUUCUUUCUAUCUUAUCAGGAGCUGAGACUGGCCCUGAGCUAACAUCCAUGCCCAUCAUCCUCUACUUUAUGUAUGGG